rnacentral:rRNA from 1 species
UACGUAGGGUGCAAGCAUUAAUCGGAUUUAUUGGGCGUAAAGGGCGCGUAGGCGGAGAUGUAAGUCAGAUGUGAAAUCCCGGGGCUCAACCCAGGAACAGCAUUAGAAACUGCGUUUCUAGAGGGUAGGCGGAGAAAACGGAAUUCCACAAGUAGCGGUGAAAUGCGUAGAUAUGUGGAAGAACACCAGUGGCGAAGGCGGUUUUCUAGCUUAUACCCGACGCUAAAGCGCGAAAGCAAGGGGAGCAAACAGG